rnacentral:rRNA from 1 species
GUCCACGCCCUAAACGAUGUACACUAGUUGUUGUGAGACUUGAUCUUGCAGUAAUGCAGUUAACACAUUAAGUGUACCGCCUGGGAGUACGGUCGCAAGAUUAAACUCAAAGGAAUAGACGGGACCCGCACAAGCGGUGGAGCAUGUGGUUUAAUUCGACGAUACACGAAGAACCUUACCUGGACUUGACAUAGUAAGAACUUUCUAGAGAUAGAUUGGUGUCUGCUUGCAGAAACUUAUAUACAGGUGUUGCACGGCUGUCGU